GUUUUAUCCGGAAGUGAUACAGAUGUUCUUGGUUUGAAAAAAAUGUGAAAAAUUAAAAAACUCUUCUUAAUAAUCACAUUUAGGGAGUAAGUGUACGUUAUUACGUAAAAUAAUAAACAGAGAAUUACAAGAAGUCAAUGGAGGCGUUUGAUUGAACCCCUUUAGAUUAUCGGCAUGAGUGCGAGACGUGUAUACAAUGCCCUCAAUAAGGGAGGAGUGUUCUGUAUCUUCAAACCAAAGGGAAUAUCUGUCCAACAUUGUGUCAGGAAAAUCAAGUUCAACUUAGCACAGGGGCUAAACCACAUGUACAAUGAUGAACCACUAAAGGAAAGAGUACAGAUAGACGAGGAUAACAUAGGAACUGACCUACCAGUAGUGACAACUGUGCCUGAUCUAGCUGCCUCAUCUUUAGUCCUGGGCCCCAUGUACCAACCAGAAGAUUUCAGAGUGCACUACUGUGGAGAACUGGGAUCCUUUGCAUCUGGGGUGACUGUCCUUGGCAUUGGGGAAGGAUGUAAACUGGUGAAGAAAAUUCUCGAUGCCCGUUACAUUCAUGUAUACCAUGUUAAAGGCACUCUUGGUAGAGCGACAGAUAAUUUCGCACCUGAUGGCCAUCUGGUGGAGAAAACAACAUGGAAUCACGUCAAGCGCCCAACAAUUGAUCGUAUUCUCGCAGCUAGUCAGGCAUUACACCAGAGACAAAUGUUCUUGAAUAUGCGUGUUGACCCCCAAAGUCAAGAGGCUUAUGAUAUUGCAGCCAAAGGUCUGAUAAGACCUGAAGAUGGCUACACAGCUCCUAUCAUUUACAACAUGAAGUGUAUAGAGUUUCAGCCACCAGAUUUUACAGUGGAAGUGCACUGUGUAAAUGAACACUCUAAAUAUCUCAGACAGAUUACGCACAAUGUCGGUCUGGAGGCAAAAUCUACAGCCAUUUGUACACAGAUACGAAGAAUUCGCUACGGACAUUUUACACUUAGUCACGCCCUUUUAGAUAAACACUGGACAGUCGAGCAUAUCUUAUCAAAUAUAAAACAUUGUAAAUCUCUGACAAAGCGAAGUUUAUUGAAACCAGGGCCAAACAUGAUACAAUUAGAGCAUAGAGACACGUCAGCAUUGGAGCCUGGGGAUCGUGACACUCCCUCAUUGGAUCCUGGUUGUUUUGACGCCGAAAAAAGACUGGAAAAUGUGCCUCAAGAUCAAGAAAUUAUUAAAAAUAAGAGAUAACUAGCGUAUGAUGUAUUGUAGUGUGAAUUAUUUAUACUUCAUGUUAGAAUGAGAGUCUGAUGAGAAAAUAAAUAUUUCUUUACGAAGAUGCUGCA
rnacentral:misc_RNA from 1 species